AUGCCAUAAUUUAAAUAUGCAUUCUACGUUAAGGAUAACCCCUAAUAAGUCUCCUGUGUUGUUUACCAACCUGCUCUCCACUUCAGUGAGUAAAGAAAUGAGAUUUGGGCAACUCUGGCCAAGGGAAAGACGGGCUGUGCUUUGGUCAGGCUGAGCUGAAGUGGCUGCAGGUGCUGAGACUGGGCUCGGGAAAGAGAACACAGGUUUCCAGGGAAGAUCACGAAAGAGCUGUGUGAUCUACCUCUGUACCAACACGCUGUGGUGACCUGCAUGUACCGUCUGUGCUACAAAUGACAGGCUCAGAGAAAAUGGAUGCGCUGGGACUUUGCUGUCACCAGAACUGACUACGUGAAUAGCGAAUGAGUGAAGCACAGUUAUUUUUCUUUCAGAGCCCAGUGGAUGGACUAAUUGGAAGUGGGAUUGCUAAAGUGAAUCAUGACUAUUCACCAGCUUUUAAACUCCAUCCAGGAUCAUAGAACAGAGGGUAAGUCCCACUUGCUCCUCUGUUAGGCAGAACAUGUGCCUACAUGAUUUUCCAGCUCCACCCUUCACAGAUGCAGAUCGUUACAGAUGAAAUGUAUUCUUUAUGUUGUUUUGCUCACUACUACCAUGCAGAGUUGGACUGGGAUAGAGAAUGCCUCGUACAAUGUAGCCCUGAAAUCAUUACUCUCAGAAGAAGUGUUGCAAUAUGAGUGUGUUGCCUGUUUUUUUUACCCAGGCUCUCUUUUCAGCUUUUGAAAUCAUAUACAGCAUUGUUGCAAUCCAGCAGUUGUGUCACAGCAUCUUGAUUUAAGUUCAGGCCACCUCAGGAUGGGAAGAGGAUGUCAGUUUAGGUCCUUAGCUACCUUCAAAUGGUGCUUUCAGCUCAGGAAGGACAGACUCCUUCUUCCACCGGUGUUUGGAAGAUCUUUAGGGCUAUCGAAGAGAGCUGAGACAUGACAGCAAGAUGCCCCUUGCCUGUCCUCCCAGGGCAUAACGUGUCUCUAAACCAGUCCAAGUUUCCAGCUUGAGCUGUGGGUUUUAUACAGCUCUUCAGUUGUGACAAGUGGUCUGUGGGAUGCCUCCCUCUAUGCUGUUGCCUUUUUCUUUGGAGGAGACAGUGAGCUGCUCUUGAGGCUGGGAACACUGCCCUAGCAGGCAAGAACCUCCUUUUCCUGCAUUUUCUGUAAGUUCUUACCAGAGAACAUGACUUCAGGGCUGAAGUACAGGAAAUCUGCCUCCCCAGCUUUAUCCUCACCAAGUUCUUUAGUGGCUUAGACCAGAGAUCUAGACAACACAGCAGUGGCCACAGGAGGCUGUGCAGGACGAGGGAGGAAGGAGGAGGAUUUAUGGGGAAAGAGCAUCCCAUCGGCAUAAAGACAGCCAGAAACCGUCACCAUCAAUAACAGCCUGUGGGGAGUGGAUGUCCCAGAAGUGGCAUCCAGCUCCAGUGGCAGCUGAUUUUGGGCCACCCUGAUUUACCACAUCAGGUUUUAGUCUGUGACCAGAGUACCAAACAGAAGAAAGUUUAGAAGAAGUUGGAGUACUGUUUGCUGCUGUUGAGAGCUAAGUGGAAAAAUAUAACCAAGAUGAUAAGCAAAAUCCCUUUAUCUGCCAGUUACAAACCUCCGAGCAGAAAAGCUGAAGAACUACACAGAAAAAAGUCUCUACAAGGUAGCAAAAGCUCUAAUACUUGUAAAAAAAAAAAAAGGGGAGUUGGCAGGAUGAUUUUGAGCACUGCCUUCUGUCCCGUUAAUCAAUAUCAGACGAUGUAUGUAUAAAAGAACAAUGCUGAAUGAAAAAAGACCAAUUUGAUCCCAAAAAGUGGAGUAUAGAGCUGACAGGAAAAGUGGAAUCAUAUUUCAUAAGGAAGGUGGUUGAAACAUUCUGGGUGAAUUUUGCUAGAUUUAGUGAAAGUGAAAUGAAGUUAAAAAAAAAUUUCAGGCAGUGUCAACAAGACCUCACACUCACAUUUUUUAUUAAACUUUAUGAUUUUUAGUUUCUAUUUUAACAAUGUUUACAUUAUGUGGUCUAACUCAAAUCAUAUGUUACAUGUUACUUAAAACACACACACACACCCCAAAAACAUACACACACACACACAAAAAGAUCAGUUGACUUGGAACAUCCCAAUAUUUUGGCAUUUUAAUUUCUGGAGAAAUGUUGGGGUUUUCUGCUCCCAAAAAUUCAUUCCUAAAGAAGGGAGGAGGAAUUUGUCCUUCCCUCCAUUUGGCAUGCAAUACACAAGUGCCUUUCUGUAAACAGCAGACUCAUUUGAGCAAUGAGCAACCCACACAACAGGCUGGCUUCUGGCAUUUGCUAACUGGAGUCUGAGGGCUAAGUGCAACAAAAACUUGAGUUGCCCACAGAAUAGCUACUCUGAUUCAGCUGAAACCUGAAGCAGAUUUUGGUCCUUCUUAGAAAAUACUUGUACUUUUUUGUUGGUUGUUGUUGUUUCUAACAAAGACAGAAUUGAACCAGUCUCCCAAGUUGAGAUGCUCAAAGAUGUCCAAAAUGAGAUGUGACUGGCAAGAAUACAAUACACAGAUUAAUAAGGAAGUCAUUAAAGGACAGAGAAGCCCUGAAGGGAUGGAGUGGCUUUUAGUUUGAGGAAGAAUAGGUACAUAAGUUCUCGUUUUGCAUUAAAUUUUACCCUUCCUUUCUGCAGUAAGCCAUAAGUCAACUGUUUGCUGUGACUUCAUCAGAAAACAAUCUCUCUCUUUUCUUUCCUGCUCAUAGGCAUCUUGGGCUCAAUAGAAAGCUUUUUGACUUGGAUCCAACUGUUUGCUCAGUUUAGAGGAAGUUUCUGAUGCUAUUCAGUAUUUCACAAUGGCACCGAAAGGAAAUUUAUCAGCACAGGGACUCUACUUAAUUACCAAGCUGCCAGAAACACCCCUGAAACAGGAGAGGAGAAAGGCUAUUGCAAGGCACAGCUGGAACAUCAGUAGGGGAGGUGAAGAAAGAUUACACCAGGGAAGGAGGUGUCUUACAACAUGGAAGUAAGAAAAAUGGAAAGGAAUGAUCAUGUAUCUGAAGAAUAAAAUAAAAAGGCAACAACGAAAACAAAUUACUCAGUUUUUCCACGCUUUCCUCUCUCUUGCUUGCCUGUUGAGUCAGACACCUAGACUCAGUGCAGACUAAAACAGAGUGUCUUUGUUACACGUGAACAUCUUCUUUUUAUGCGUAGGGCUCUUUGACAGGGACAUAUAUGCAUCUAGGGAUGCUUAUCCUCCAUUAUCAUUGCCCAGAGCAAUUGUAGCUCCCUGUUACAUGGCUUGGAGAUGGUGUGCAUUGCACAGCUUCUCUCUCUGUCCUUUCUAGAAUGGCUGCCUUGCUCCUAAGUACCCCAAAACAACAGUUGAUGACACCUACUCUAGAAAGCAGACUUGGGCUCCCAACUUGUUUCAGACAUAUGUCCUGGGAAAUGAACUGCAAGGAGCCACUGUAAGGAGCUAGACCUGAAGUUCCCACCAAGAAAAGCUGGCAGAUCACAUGGUGAACAGCAAGGUUUAUCUUAUGCUGCUUUGAUCUGCCCCCAAAAGAGCCUUUGUAUAGCAUCACAUCACAGAUAUCUUCAGGUGGUCAAGCCAAGGCUAGAAGAGAAACCAGUGCAUCUCUGCUUUCCACAGUUCUCUUCCUAAGAACUUUGAAAGUUCUUGGACUUUCUUUAAGUAACUUUUACUGUGUAUUUGCAGUGUUCUGGUCACAAAGGACUAAAGGUGAAAGGUUUUUGGAGGCCUUUAUAGAUAGUUUUCCAUUUUCUAGAAAGACCUUUUGCUUUUUGAAGUUCACACAAAACUGUGCCAAAGGUAUGAGCAGAAAAAACAUAGGACAUAGCAUCAAGGAAGUGGGUUUUUAUAACUACAUUCCCUUGGGACAUUUCUUAUCCAUGUGGGAUUUGCACUUGACUCUUUGGAGUAUCAGGAAGGAUUUCUAAAUCUCUCAGGAGAGAAGGAUCAACACAUUAACCAAUAUGCAUAAUACCCAUAUAUUCUCUUAGGUUGAUCUGCUAAAACACCAAAGACUCCCUUAACUUUACCUCAAAAUGGGCUCAUGUUUCAUACAGUGAAGAAAUUGAUACAGAGUAGUAGAUUUAGCAGUUGAUUUUUGUCUGUGCUAUGGGAACAAGUUCCUUACAUGUUCUGCAUCAUUCAUAUGCUGCUAUUGCACGCCAGGUGGCAAUUGCAUGGCAGGUGGGCAGGUGCAGCAAGACUGUAAGUUUAGGGCUCAUCCCUUGGGGAUCAGAUUUAAAGAAAUUUGAUCCAGUUGCAAGGCUGGAAAUAUAUAGGUCCAUCCAGAAAAUUUCCUUCUGAAUUUCAUUGUUGCAUAUUCUCCUAGCUCCUUCUGAAUUCAGGUCCUUGCUUUGCUAUUGCUUUGCCAGGAUACUUACUUCUUUAACAUUUGUCCCGAGAAGACUAUUCUGUCUCUCUCUCCCACAGAUUUACAAAGGCACAAAUACUUGUGCAGGCAGGCAGAGCUGCAUUUUGUUUCCUGUGUGGUUCUGAAGAAAAACGAGUGGUUGUUCUGGGCAUUAUGGAAGUGCCGCAUGACCCCCACAUCUACAGAAAAAGUAGUCUUGGUGUUUGGAGUCUCAUACUCCAAAGCCACACUGGCACAAGCCAGGAUAAGAGAAGUGGAACAUAAGAAACAGAAGUACCAAAUACAAAUAGCAAAGACAGAAGAAAAUUAAGAGAAAACCAUGCAUAUCUUCAAUUACUGCUUGACUUUGAUAAAAAGGCUCUUUUCAGUUUUGUAUGGUGCCCCUACCCGAUAAAUAUUCACACCUGUCUGUCAAUAGAUCUUGAUCACCCCUAUAGCUUUCCUCUGUUGAAGAUUGGUCUUACUUCAUAUUUCAGAUAUCCUUGCUUGCUUGGUCCUUCCAUCUGUAGAUGGCUAGAUCCUUACCUCAGAUAUAAAGGAGCUUUGACCUUAUUCCAGCCUGCUUUGGACAUGCAGAGCCAGAGAGUGCUGGCUCUAGUGCCCAGUGCAUGGGUUUGCCUAUCCACCCCCAAAAGUGACUGAAGCACUUUGUGGUGAUAAGGGGCUUGGGGUGAAUAACUGCCCUCCCCCAGUCCUGCUUCUGAGGAUAAGGUGACGUUUUCCCCAAAAUAUGGCUUUUCCUUUGCUACUUUUAUACUUAGUCCUGACUUUUCUCCAUUUCUUCUUUUGGUCUUCAUGGGCUCUUGUCUUUCUAUGGACAUGAAUCUUUGGAGCAGCAAAUUUAGUUUCCAAGAAAAAACUUGACACUCAUCUUCUACCUUCCUAAGUCACACAUACACUCACUAGAAGUGAUUUUUCUCACUAUGUAUGCCUGAGUUUUAAUGGUUUAAGUUAUGAUGGCUGAUAUUUUAUCUUCAAGCCUUUUACUAGGAUGUUAUUCUGUACACCAGUGUCUAAUUUCUAAGGAGAACAGACCCCAGUGAUAUUCCAGUUGACUGGAAGCAGUUGUCUUCUGAACCAUCUCUACAAGUAAUACCACUUCACUAUGUAGAGAAUAAUUUUGUGUGUGUAUAUAAACUGGUUUUAUUGCUUAGAAAAAUGGCAGUUCUUCCAAAAGCUGGAUAUUACUUAGAACUAUGUUUAUUCCACUAGCCUGUGCAAUCUGUCACUUUGCUUCUAGCAAACUACUACUCAGAUUAUAUUUUAGAUUUACUUUGUCUCUUCCUGUUUCUAUGAAUCUGCAGUUUGCUAGCUCAGUGUACUACAGCAGUCUCUAGUUUCCUCUCCAAAGGUUUCAAGUGAAUCUUAACCUCCAAGGACAGUAAUUGCAUUUUUUUUUUAUUUUUUUAAGGUUAAGUCAGCUCCCCAAGCAAAUUCUCUGGGCUGGGUUUGUUUUUUGAUUCCCAUUCUA